rnacentral:rRNA from 1 species
GGCCUAACACAUGCAAGUCGAACGGUGGCAGGAGUAAGCUUGCUGCUUCGCUGACGAGUGGCGGACGGGUGAGUAAUGUCUGGGAAACUGCCUGAUGGAGGGGGAUAACUACUGGAAACGGUGGUUAAUACCGCAUAACGUCGCAAGACCAAAGAGGGGGACCUUCGGGCCUCUUGCCAUCAGAUGUGCCCAGAUGGGAUUAGCUUGUUGGUGAGGUAACGGCUCACCAAGGCGACGAUCCCUAGCUGGUCUGAGAGGAUGACCAGCCACACUGGAACUGAGACACGGUCCAGACUCCUACGGGAGGCAGCAGUGGGGAAUAUUGCACAAUGGGCGCAAGCCUGAUGCAGCCAUGCCGCGUGUAUGAAGAAGGCCUUCGGGUUGUAAAGUACUUUCAGCGGGGAGGAAGGUGUUGUGGUUAAUAACCGCAGCAAUUGACGUUACCCGCAGAA